rnacentral:rRNA from 1 species
UACAGAGGUCUCAAGCGUUUGUUCGGAUUCAUUGGGCGUAAAGGGUGCGUAGGCGGCGCGGUAAGUCGGGUGUGAAAUCUCGGGGCUUAACUCCGAAACUGCAUUCGAUACUGCGGUGCUUGAGGACUGGAGAGGAGACUGGAAUUUACGGUGUAGCAGUGAAAUGCGUAGAGAUCGUAAGGAAGACCAGUGGCGAAGGCGGGUCUCUGGACAGUUCCUGACACUGAGGCACGAAGGCCAGGGGAGCAAACGGG